UUAAUUGAAGCCAAAAAGAGGCAUAUUAAUGUUAAUAAUAUCAAUGAGAUUUCUCCAAUUAAA
rnacentral:tRNA from 1 species